GAGAGAAAGGAGAAGAGUCCCUCAGCAAGUGAACAUCCGUGUGCCUAGCCCUGUGUUGGGAACGGUGAGCACUCAGGCAAUCAAGGCAAGUUCAACGCUCAGUGGCUCCCACAGAUACUGGAGGGGACAACACAGAAAGAAAGCCACACGAAUGGAUUCUGGUCAAAGGUCUUGGGUUUAAGUCUUAACUCUGCCCAGUAUUCGCUGCUUGGCUCGUCACUUACCCACGCUGAACCUCAUCUUUCUCAGCUGUCAUCUGGGCAUAGGAAGAGAUCCUCUCUGUGAGAGUCAGGUGAACUUGCAAGUGAUCGAUGAGGAAGGCCAGUGCAAGAUCAGAGAAACAGAAGGACAAGACGGUUCCGAGUAUGGGCGCGGAAGCUGAGCUCCUGUAAAUGAAGACCGUGCAGGGGACAGCUCUUGCCCGCUGGAGGACGUGCGUGGGCGGUACGUAAUUAAGAGCUAGAACAUUACUAUGUGCCCAGAAGAUCACAGUGUGGUGUACUGAUGAGUGCCAGCAAGGCUGAGAGGGUCUGCCGUAAAGACACCUGUUUGACCUGGUUGGACCCCGUGUUGCCUCAAGUUCUUUGAACAUAGACUCGUUUCAUUUCAUUUGAUAUUUUUGUUUUGUUUUUACCUUCCAUGCUCACCUGUGUGGCUGGAGAUCUGACAACUCGUGUUGGGCAACUCGGAUCCUGAUGAAUGUCCUUUUUCCAUAGGUUCAUGUACCCAAUUCUAAGUAACGUGGCUCCCCUGCUCCUUUGGAUACAACGUCAGUUAGGUGUGUGACCUCAGCAGUGCAGGGAGAUUUCUCCCCCUUUUUUCUAUAGGCAGGAUCCCUGAGGCUAACCCGCCAUCCCGCUAUUCUUCAGGGAUAUGGAAAUGUCCCCGGGACAGCUGUACUCUGCUGGCUGAGGAGCCCACAAGGUUAAUGAACACCCACAAAGACUGAGGAGGCGAGCAGCGUUCUCGGCGCGAUGAUUAGCAUGCCAGCAUUCUUUCCUUUGUGGUAAUGAUGGUCAAGAAGGUGCCUGGCGAUAGAGGGGAAAAUGGAGAGUUUCUGC